AGCAAACGCUGGUGCUGGCGCUGGUUCGUGCUCAAGCCUGACAACAGCAUCUACCGGUACAAGAACUAGCACGUCACCAAUCUAUGGACAGUCGGCAACAACCGCAGCAUGCCACUCGUUUCUCCCGAUGCUAGCAGCCGCAUACUGGAGCAAGGGCAGAACAACAUCAAUGCCCUGAGCCAAGUGUCUGACGGCACGCUGCACCGAAGCUCACCAGCAACAACAUAAGCGGCAUCAACAGCCUCGAUCAGCAGCCGUCGCACCCCAAUAACCCCCAGCGUACCCCAAGCCAUCUGAGGAAGAGCCAAGCGAGAACGGACCCCAUCACCGAACUUGGACUCACAGCCGGAGAUCAGGGCACUACUCGGAUUUGUCGAGUGUCUAUACAGUGUGCUUGGGGACCACAUCUACGAAUCCACCAACAGUGAUAUGCCUUCUCAGUCGAUCGGCUGUACGACGUACCCCCGUCGCCAGCGCUUCUCUGUUCCAGGCCUUCUAUGGAGACCUGCCCGACAUGAGCCAGCACUCUUCAUCCAGCUACGGCUAUGACCAAAGAAUCCUACUCGUCGCGCCACUGCCGGGAAAGUACCAGAUCACACCCCUGGCGCACGUGUUUCACCAGGGACUAUGCCUCGCCGGAGAUGCCAUGCUGCGGCACGGACCAGCAGUGGCGUUAUGGCUCUAGCUGUCGCAAGCACCACAUCGUUGGCUUCAACGGGCUUCCCUACUCGCGCAAGAUGCUGUAUGAGGCGACCCUGGCUCGGAGGCUAUAGAGGACGUUCAGACAAAUUUCUCCUCGGACUCGGGCAUGGUUGCUGACAGCGAGGACUGCGGGGACACGCCGCCGAUGCUUUCGAGCUUGUUGCACGGCCCCGUCGAAAGCAACCCCGGGGUGAUGGCGGCGUCGGACGGUGAGAAAGUAGUGAGCAGGAUUCAUCUAGACGCCAUGAUGACGACACCUUCGUAUCCUAGAUCGCAGCAGCCGCAUCAUCCACAGCGACACAACGUCAGCUCGUACUGCUAACCGCAGUGGUGUGUGUAAUUGGCACGUGCAUGUGCAAGUGGGCAGUGCUUUUUUUUUUCUUUGCCUGGUUAGGAAUUCCUGUCGCAUAGGCCAUUUAAGAAGCGAUUGCGUAUUAAACUAAUGGGGCUGACACUUGCGAAGGACGAACUGUGUGUGUUCCCCAGUCUACGGACCCGUCCGACAGCGGACUUUUCAGUGUCUCCGAGAAAAGCAGGCAUAGAAGAAAGAGACGCUAGUUCUAUGAAUCCUAAUCAUCGUGAGAGUCAAGGGAGAAGUGCGAUUGAGUCCCUGGUGAGAGCGAAAUUGGUGCAGCCAUUUUUUCCCACAGCCCGUGAUCGGAGCUAGGGCAUGGACGUCUCUCGACUCAUUGAAUUUAAAGAAGAAAGCAAGAGACUGAGUGGUGCUUUUUGCUAUAAAACUGGGUUGAAUAAACGGCUCUGUUCAUUUCUUUUAAUAAUUUGCUGUAAGUACAGCAUGGAUCUAGACUUUUGCUCUUUUUAAAUGCUCUUGUUUUGUGUUGUGUAUUUUUUAUUCGUCUUGGAGAACACCGCAACAGAACCCUGGCUAAGGCUCUUUUUGUUGUUGAUGUUUUGUAAAUAAGGCGUGGGAGAGCCAUUUUCGCUGUUUUGUAAGUGACCCGCUGCUACAAGCAAAGCGUCACGAAAUUACUGACAGUUUUGUACACAGUGCAACAGAACAAACAUUGGUCGCACAAACUCUAUUUUCUUCCUGCCAUCCUGGAACAUGCAUGUCUGGCAUGCAACGCAUGACAAGUCAAUUUAACUAUCGUCGGUAUCAUACGACAUGCAUUUCUGGAAGCAAAAGCACCUCGCAAAAUGAACGGAAAUUUGAAGCUAGGCUGAAGCAGCAUUCAGUCAUCUUCAUUCAUCGCAGUGUGCAGUCACUUAUCACACCUUGAAUAGUUUUCCCAUUGAAACAUUCCUGUAACCACCUUAAACUUCAAGCACGUGAGCGAUUGACGUCAGCUUUUGCCUCGGAAUUUCAAUAAAAAAUGUUUCCUGUAUGAGCCAGGACAGACGUUUGCUACUGUCCUGUGAUCCCUAUCAUUGCUUAAGUUAUUUGAAGAAACGGAAUUGUGUGUAUCUGCAUAAAGAAGGGUUAUUUCUCGAGUGAUCCAAGACUGCCAGAAGCCCUUGUUAUUUUGAGACAUUAGAAGUACUUGCUUUGACGUCGUGGCUUGGAGUAAUAGCGGUCAUUGUCGGCAGUAUAAGAUGCUGCGUGAAGUCGAAAGGUCCAUGGCCUUUCCAGCACUUAUUCUACAGAAGUGUGCCAAAUAAAAAAUACAUCUUGCAAA